rnacentral:rRNA from 1 species
UACGUAGGUGGCAGCGUGUUCGGUUCGAUCUGGGCGUAAAGAGCGCGCAGGCGGUCGUUCAGAGUCGCGUGUGAAAGCCCCCGGCUCAACUGGGGAGGGUCACGCGAUACUGCUCGACUGGAAGGCAGGAGAGGGAAGUGGAAUUCCCGGUGUAGUGGUGAAAUGCGUAGAUAUCGGGAGGAACACCAGUGGCGAAGGCGACUUCCUGGCCUGUUCUUGACGCUGAGGCGCGAAAGCUAGGGUAGCAAACAGG